rnacentral:rRNA from 1 species
CUCAACAAUAAGCGAAGGAAAAGAAAAGAACAAUGAUUUCCCUAGUAACGGCGAGUGAAGAGGAAAGAGCUCAAAGUUGGAACCUGUUUGGCUUAGCUAAACCGGAUUGUAAACUGUAGAAACGUUUUCCUGAUGCGCCAGACAAAUAAGUCCUUUGGAACAGGGCAUCAUAGAGGGUGAGAAUCCCGUCUUUGGUCUGAGCUGUUGUCUUUUGCGAUACGUUUUCAAAGAGUCAGGUUGUUUGGGAAUGCAGCCUAAAUUGGGUGGUAAAUCUCACCUAAAGCUAAAUAUUUGCGAGAGACCGAUAGCGAACAAGUACCGUGAGGGAAAGAUGAAAAGAACUUUGAAAAGAGAGUUAAACAGUAUGUGAAAUUGUUAAAAGGGAACCGUUUGGAGCCAGACUGGCUUGAUCGUAAUCAAUCUAGGUUUCGACCUGGAUGCACUUGCGGUCUAUGCCUGCCAACGACAGUUCUUUCUGAAGGAUAAAACUAAAAGGAAUGUGGCCCCUCGGGGUGUUAUAGCCUUUUAGAUAAUACUUUGGAUGGGACUGAGGAACGCAGUGAAUGCUUAUGGCGAGAUUGCUAGGCGCUUUUGUUAAUAUAUGUCAGAAUUUCUGCUUCGGGUGGUGCUGAUGUCUAAAGAUGAAACCCGCUUGGUUAAUUUUCUAUUCACUUAGGUUGUUGGCUUAAUGACUCUAAAUGACCCGUCUUGAAACACGGACCAAGGAGUCCACCAUUAGUGCGAGUAUUUGGGUGCCAAACCCAUAUGCGUAAGGAAACUGAUUGAUACGAAACCGCAAGGUGGCAGUAUCACCCGGCGUUGACGUUUUAUACUGAACUGACCGAGGUUAAGCACUAAUGAUGGGACCCGAAAGAUGGUGAACUAUGCCUGAAUAGGGUGAAGCCGGAGGAAACUCCGGUGGAGGCUCGUAGCGAUUCUGACGUGCAAAUCGAUCGUCAAAUUUGGGUAUAGGGGCGAAAGACUAAUCGAACCAUCUAGUAGCCGGUUCUGCGUGUUUUCUUCUCCCCUAGGAGAGAAAA